CACGUUUUCAGACAUACACAUAAUUAUACACAAUCAAAUCCAUCAUUACGCUUGCCUUUAUAAAAAGUAUGGUUGUGUGAAUGAAUUCCAAUUGAUCACCAAAUGUAUGUGUGUUUCACAACGUGAUUACGUUUUCAGUAUUCAGUGAAAAAGGGAAAUAGAUUCUCAAAUUAAUUUGCUGCCAUGUCUGCUAAAAAAUCGCUUGGAGUUCUCCUCAUCUUGUCUACACUCAUGGUGAUUGUGUUGUGUGGUCGAAAAGGUUUUGGCUAUAGAUAUGCAAGUAUAAGUUGCAAAGAAGAAUGGAAACAAAGCGAAUACUAUGCCAUAGAUCUCUGUACCCGGUGCCAGUGUUGGUCAAAAUCACUAAAUUCCGCUUAUUGCACAAUAGAAGAUUGUGGGACUCUGACGUGUGAACAAGAAGGUACAGAAAUUUACCAGCCACCGCAUAAGUGUUGUCCGGAAUGUGUACCGGUAACGAUAAGAUUUCGAAACUGAACAAGGUUUAAAAAGAUCAAUAUGAUAUUGUAUGAUAAAAAAAAUGUGUACAAAAUUAUAGGAUUGAACUUUAUAUGUAUAUAUAUUGUAAAAUAAAUCAAUUUUAAUUUUAAAAUAAAUAGGUUGUGUGGCUGAGUGGUAAAACCCUGCUUGGAUAAGUAUAAAUCCCGACACGAGUUGUGUAUCCUGAGGGACUAAAAGAAGCUAUGUAAACUUUCUCCUAGAUCAGGGGUCGGCAACCUUUUGAGUCGGAAGAGCCAAAAAUUACAAUUUACAAAAUUUCAAAGUUUUUAAAGAGCCACAACAUUUUUUCCUGCCAACAAUAAAUAGUAUUAAAUUAAAAAAAAUUUAAUAAAAAAAAAAAACUAAUCUAUUUAUUCCUAAGAAAAAAUAUCUAUUUAUUUUUAUAUAAGUAGCGUUUUACACGGUACUGUCGUAUGGGUAGAUAGAAGAUAGUCAGCACUCCAAAUGCUAACUUCGCCACCUCAUUCUGGAAAACUAUUUCUUGGUUUGAAUAAAAGUGCCUCAACUCAUGGCAUUUCUUUCAAAUCUGUCCACUUUUGUUGCGUUACGUACAUUUCUGGAGCUCCAACUUUUCCAACUUGCUUUUUGACUUUUCCACUUCACAAAUCUUUACUUUUUAAAUAUGUUCUUAAAAUACACCAGUAACAAAUAAAUAAGUUUGUUUUCAACUAUAUGACCUUGAAGCGCUUACGUUACUAGACAAUAUAAAACUUUGAGAAGAUAAUUGGCUUCUAACUCUUCUACUUAAAACAACAAACUCUAAGUCACAGCCAAAGCACGUGGUGAAGACGCCAAAUUGCUUUGCGCUGAAAAGCGAAUAAAAACCUACAUAGAAACGGAGUCAUUUGAGAGCUUCCACAGACUGACGACACUGACGACGCGUGUCACGGGUAAGGGGUGGGGUGAAAAGCGAGUACAAGUGGCUGAAAGAUGGAAUCGGUGUCUAAUCCUCGUUAAUCGAUUCACAACGAAUUUUAAAUGUUUUUGUUGCAAAUUGUUUUUGUUGCCGACUCCGGGUCUAUUGUCCUCUGUUGUUGACACAUGUUCGUAAAUGAAGAAAUUUUUUUAC